ACAAGCCGUGGAGGUCGCCCUGCAAAGGAAGCGGCCUUUCACCUGGCCACCCUUGUUUACUCUUAACCUGUUGCUUUGGUGGGCCCGCCGCAAGGCCGCUGGGGGACCUUUGGUUCCCGGGCCAGUGCCCACCAAAGACUUGUGAACUCUCAAGGGUUUUGUGCUGUCUGAGCUGUGCAAAUGCAGUCUUUUA
rnacentral:misc_RNA from 1 species